AUUGAACGCUGGCGGCAGGCCUAACACAUGCAAGUCGAGCGGAUGAGUGGAGCUUGCUCCAUGAUUCAGCGGCGGACGGGUGAGUAAUGCCUAGGAAUCUGCCUGGUAGUGUGGGACAACGUUUCGAAAGGAACGCUAAUACCGCAUACGUCCUACGGGAGAAAGUGGGGGAUCUUCGGACCUCACGCUAUCAGAUGAGCCUAGGUCCGCUUAGCAAGUUGGUGUGGUAAAGGCUCACCAAGGCGACGAUCCGUAACUGGUCUGAGAGGAUUCGCAGUCACAUUGGAACUGAGACACGGUCCAGACUCCUACGGGAGGCAGCAGUGGAGAAUAUUGGACAAUGGGUGAAAGCCUGUUCCCGCCAUGCCGCGUGUGUGAAGAAGGUCUUCGGAUUGUAAAGCACUUUAAGUUGGGAGGAAGGGCAGUAAGUUAAUACCUUGCUGUUUUGACGUUACCAACAGAAUAAGCACCGGCUAACUUCGUGCCAGCAGCCGCCGUAAGAC
rnacentral:rRNA from 1 species